rnacentral:rRNA from 1 species
GACGAACGCUGGCGGCGUGCUUAACACAUGCAAGUCGAACGAAGUGGCGAACGGGUGAGUAAUACGUGGGUAACUGCCCUCCUUUUUGGGAUAAGCCUUGGAAACGGGGUCUAAUACCGAAUACAGGGGGAUGGCUCGCGGCCUAUCAUCUUGUUGGUGGGGUGAUGGCCUACCAAGGCGGUGACGGGUAGCCGGCCUGAGAGGGCGACCGGCCACAUUGGGCUGAGAGACGGCCCAAACUGCUACGGGAGGCAGCAGUGGGGAAUAUUGCACAAUGGGGGAAACGCGGAUGCAGCAACGCCGGGUGCGGGAGGACGGCCUUCGGGUUGUAAACCGCUUUCAGCCAUGACGCGGUAGUGGCAGAAGAAGCACCGGCUAACUACGUGCCAGCAGCCGCGGUAAUAC